GGAGUCCCUCUGAGAACUGUCUGUUUCCAAGGAACUGGUCUCCUCCCCAUGCACCCCCAGCUCUGUGGGUGCCCAUCCCCAGCAGUGCUGACCACCAGUCAGGGCAGCAGGGCUCAUUCCACAGCACCCACUGCAGCUCUCUGCAGGCUCUUUUUCAGAGGGGUCCCUGACCCAGCUGCAGCCCUACCCCAGGCACAUGAGCAGGAGGAGGAUCUGGGGCCAAACCCAGGGAUAAGAGGUCGGGGAGGGGGGAGAAGAAAGGUCUCCAUUUCUCCUCCCUGCAGACAGACCAGACGGACAGCAGUGGCCACUGAGUGUUAUCAUCAGAGCUGGAAGCAUGAAGGCUCUGCUGUGACCCUGACACCAUCUGCAUGUCAGCCCUGUGUCCCCACACACCCUCCCAUCCUCUGCUCUGCAGAACAUCUCUUCUCAUUGCCACCACCUUCCCUCUCCUUUCAGAUGUCCCUGUCCUGCCCGGAGGUAACCCAGCAGAUGGCUAUGAUGAUGCUGGGGAGGUUUCUGACCCUGGGGAGGAUCCUGUCCCUGGGCAGAGGGACUGGGAAGUGCCCAGGACACCACAGGAAGGAGAUGGGUGCAGGGAUGCAGCCACAGGGGGAAGCCUGCACUCCCGGAGAAGUGCUGGGGUCCGUGGAGCUGAAGGAGACACCUCGUACCCUGUCCUGGGGACCACGGGCUAUGACGAUGUUGAAGAGGUGUCUCUGGCAUGUCCCCGUGAGGACACCCAGGAUGUGACACCAGAGCCCCGUGCACAAGAAUUCCAGAGCCCCAGGCCAGCAGAGCCCAGCCCUGCUGAGCAGCUGGGUACAGCCGAGAGGAAGGAGAGCUCAGUGCCACUGGGAGAGCCGUGAGUGCCAGGGAACAGUCUACCUUUUCCAGCAGGCAGCAGACACACAUGGGUAUUUCC
rnacentral:lncRNA from 1 species